rnacentral:lncRNA from 1 species
GUUAUGGCCUUAGUUUUCCUUUAUUUUGUUUUGGAAUUUUUAAAUACGACCUGUGUUUCAUGCCUCUCUUUUAAUCUCUUAAUGUAACUUCUUUUCUCAUCUCACUCCCUCGUAUGUAAAGCGAGUUUCUUUUAUGUAAUGUAAUGUUAUGAAGAAAGAGAAGAAUACAAUAUCAAAGGAGGACAACCUUGAAGAUCUUGCUUGGAGAAACUUAGAUCAUUAUUAGGUUAGCUUAGGUUCUCUCAUUGACUUGGG